GCCCUUUUAGUUUAGUGGUAGAACAUCGGAUUCGUAACCCGGUAACACCAGUUCAAUUCUGGUAGAGGGCA
rnacentral:tRNA from 1 species